AUUGAACGCUGGCGGAAUGCUUUACACAUGCAAGUCGAACGGCAGCACGGACUUCGGUCUGGUGGCGAGUGGCGAACGGGUGAGUAACAUAUCGGAACGUAUCCAUUAAUGGGGGAUAACGAGUCGAAAGAUUCGCUAAUACCGCAUACGCCCUACGGGGGAAAGCUAGGGACCUUCGGGCCUGGCGUUAAUGGAGCGGCCGAUAUCUGAUUAGCUAGUUGGUGGGGUAAAGGCCCACCAAGGCGACGAUCAGUAGCUGGUCUGAGAGGACGACCAGCCACACUGGAACUGAGACACGGUCCAGACUCCUACGGGAGGCAGCAGUGGGGAAUUUUGGACAAUGGGCGCAAGCCUGAUCCAGCCAUUCCGCGUGAGUGAAGAAGGCCUUCGGGUUGUAAAGCUCUUUCGCAAGGGAAGAAAACUUAGCCACUAACAUUGGCUGAGGUUGACGGUACCUUGAUAAGAAGCACCGGCUAACUACGUGC
rnacentral:rRNA from 1 species